rnacentral:rRNA from 1 species
GACGAACGCUGGCGGCGUGCUUAACACAUGCAAGUCGAGCGGGAUCCAACCGGUGGCAACACCGGGAAAGAUCUAGCGGCGAACGGGUGAGUAACACGUGAGCAACCUGCCCCGAAGACUGGGAUAACACCGGGAAACCGGUGCUAAUACCGGAUGUCGUCAUUAGGCCGCAUGACCUGAUGAUGAAAGGAUUCAUCGCUUCGGGAGGGGCUCGCGGGCUAUCAGCUUGNGGUGGGGUAACGGCCUACCAAGGCGACGACGGCUAGCUGGUCUGAGAGGACGACCAGCCACACUGGGACUGAGACACGGCCCAGACUCCUACGGGAGGCAGCAGUGGGGAAUAUUGCGCAAUGGGCGUAAGCCUGACGCAGCGACGCCGCGUGGGGGAUGAAGGCCU